GUUGGUUACGGAGAUAUCUACCCUAAGACUCUUUUAGGUAAGAUUGUUGGUGGGUUAUGCUGUAUUGCUGGAGUCUUAGUGAUUGCCCUUCCAAUCCCAAUCAUUGUAAAUAAC
rfam:Ophiophagus hannah scaffold3087.1, whole genome shotgun sequence.